rnacentral:misc_RNA from 1 species
UUUUAAUUUUUAAUUUUUAUUUUUGAUAGAAAACCUUGUAACUGUCAAUUAUAUGCUGUGUCAGGUUUUGUUUGUAGCCAUAUGGGAAGGAGUUUUGUUCUGUUUUCACUAAUUGACUUUGAAAAGUUUUGACUAAUAGACUUUGAAUCCGUACUUGAUUGCCUUAAAUUCCAUGUGAGGACGCUUAAUUUAAUCAAAGCAAGCAUCUUUUAUUGACUCUUUGCUUAUAUUUAAAGCUUCUACUUCACUAUUAGUGUAGAAGAUCAUAAUUUGGGAUGAGCUCGGUUACCUCAAUAAAAUUUAAAUUAUUGAAGUAUUCAAAGGCCGGGGAGGCAGUGCUGCUUUUCUGUGAUGCCAACUCUCAGCUUUGAAUAAAUUUUAUCUGGGCAUAUUACAUGCAAGUAAAAGAUUUAUUCUUCAAUCAUCUAUAUCGUUUGACAGCUUUUAGAAACAGAUGUAAAUUAAAAUAGUCAGCAACCUUAUAUGGAGGCUUACACUUUUAAGUAAUUAUUAUAAGGAAAGUUGCUUUGGAUAGAAGUCACUAGUAUUGGUGUGAAUUGAGAGACUUAGUUUUGUAUUUUUCGCUGAGUGUUGCUGUAAAGGCUUUUGCAACAUAAUCACUUUUAACAGAAGUUUAAUUGUGUUUUUGUCCAUAUAUCAGUAUUUUGGCUUCAAUUAUGUACUUGUAGAAGGGGUGAUAUUCAUCCCUUGAUGACAUUUUAUCCGGAAUUAUAAGUUUGGCUAUAAAUCUAAUUUCUCUUGGUCACUUGGGGAAAGAAAUGGAAAGGGUGCCAUAUGCCAAGCUUCCAUAUUGGUGUAUCAGCUCUGUGCUAAAAAAGCAAUUUGUUACUGAUUUGGAGAUGCUAGUGGAAAGUCUUAUAGUGAAGGGGGUGUUACCUUCUUUGACAAAUAUGCUUCUUUUGAGUUGGAAGGUUUAAGUAACGGUCUUUCUAACUGUCAUAACUGUUAAUUGUUAUUUGCGACCUGGGAUAGUUUAUAGAGGAAGUAUAUUAUUAAAUGAUUGCACAGAAUGGUGAACUGGCAAUUUUGUGUGAUUUGUUUUGCUUAGUAUUAUUCUUAUUUAGUAUGGCUAUUAUCAAUCUUAUAAUCAAGUAUUUGUUUGUCAGUUGGACAUCUUGCUAUUUUCUAUUUUUCACUAAUUUCUAAUGAAAUUUGCAUUUUUGUUCUUCAAAUAGCAUCACUGUUAUUUUCUUUGCAAAAGAAAGUGCGGAUUGUAUUCUGACACCAAUGAAGGAAAACCUUCUUCCGCCGGUGACAGUAAAUUUCCAACAAGGUCUUGGCCAGCAAUUCAGGCAGCCUUCUGGGACUGGGAUUGAUUUCUCAGUUUUUGAGGAGAGUGAAUUAAUGAAAGAGGGUGAGAUGGAUAUCUAUCCUCUAGCGGUGAAGGCAGAGGCUUCCCCUCCUAAUCAGAAUGGAGAAGGAAACCAAAUGUCUGGAACCACAAAUUCUCAGAUAACACAAGCAGUGUUUGUGAAGGAGAAAGGUGAGUACCAGUUGAGAGUAGCGAAGCAGAUUCUGUGGGUGAAUGGGAUGAGGUAUGAAUUGCAGGAAAUAUAUGGGAUUGGGAAUUCAGUUGAGGGUGCUGUUGAUGCAAAUGACCCUGGAAAGGAAUGUGUCAUUUGCCUGUCAGAACCACGGGACACAACUGUUCUUCCCUGCCGCCACAUGGUAAGUAAAUUCCCUGCAUCUCUUCAGGGGAGUAAAUAGGUUAGGAAAAACGAUGAAGCCAUGUUUUUCUCCCAAUUCUAUAUUAGGGAAAUGUGUCCUAUCAAUGGGCAUAAUGUCCAGUGUAAUUUUUGCAAUUCCUUGCCAGCCAAAGCACUUCCCUCUGGAAACUAUUUCUUUUUACAAGAAAUGGCAGGGUCAUAACAAUGCUCUUACCUUUUGUGAUGGCUGGCUGCUUGGACAAUUGGAUCCAAUAACCAAGUGAUGUUUCAAACCUGAACUCUCUGGGACGUUUUGUGUAUUUUUGUUUGUGCAUAUUUCAGUAAGGUAAAUUAGACAUGAUGGGUUUACAAACACCUUGGAUAAUUCUAUCUCAUGUUAUUGCUGACAAGCAGUUGUGUUUAAGCGGCCUGAAUUGAGAGAACUAUACAAUAUCUUUUUAACGUUACAUGUUUGGCUGACCUUUAUUCUGCGGUGCAGUGUAUGUGCAGCGAAUGUGCAAAGGUUUUAAGGUACCAAACAAAUCGAUGCCCAAUUUGCAGACAACCCGUAGAGAGGCUUUUAGAGAUAAAGGUCAACAGUGGGCCUGAUGAAUGAAGAGAGGAAUUCCUACCGCCUUGCUGUAUAGUAGUUUGCUUGCUUUUUCUUGGGUUUCAAUGUUUUCUGUUUUCCCCUUCAAUGUUCUUGUUUUCUAAUAAUCAAACCGGAAAUUAUAAUCAAUUUGCAGUAUGGCAGGGAUAAAUGGUGGUCAUUGUGCCAUAAAUAUUUGAGAUGUCCUCCUUUCUGCUGCUGCCGCUGCUUCUUUCUUUGUUUUCUUAACCUCUCUUACAGUUUGGAUCACCUGUUUGGCGAUGUUGAUUUGGCAGUCUUUUCUGAAUAAGUGGCGAAAUGACUGUCACUGAAAUUCACGAGAGAGAGGUUUAAAAUGUUUUUAUUGGCUCAGUUGUCUUAUCAAGGAUAAGCUAUGUUUUACUGUAAUCCACCAACCUUGGAGGAAUACUUCCAUGCCUGACAUCAUCCUUAAAAUUUAAGUGGUUG